CUACGGGGUGCAGCAGUGGGGAAUAUUGCGCAAUGGGCGAAAGCCUGACGCAGCGACGCCGCGUGAGUGAUGAAGGCCUUCGGGUCGUAAAGCUCUGUGGGAGAGGGACGAACAACCUUUGGGAAUAAUACCCUGGAGGUCUGACGGUACCUCUCCAGAAAGCAUCGGCUAACUCCGUGCCAGCAGCCGCGGUAAUACGGAGGAUGCAAACGUUGUUCGGAAUCACUGGGCGUAAAGCGCAUGUAGGCGGUUUAUCAAGUCAGAUGGGAAAGCCCACGGCUCAACCGUGGAAGUGCAUUUGAAACUGGUAGAAUAGAAUACGGGAGAGGGUUGUGGAAUUCCAGGUGUAGAGGUGAAAUUCGUAGAUAUCUGGAGGAACACCGGUGGCGAAGGCGGCAACCUGGACCGAUAUUGACGCUGAGAUGCGAAAGCGUGGGGAGCAAACAGGAUUAGAUACCCGAGUAGUC
rnacentral:rRNA from 1 species